UACGAAGGGGGGCUAGCGUUGCUCGGAAUUACUGGGCGUAAAGCGCACGUAGGCGGCUUUCUAAGUCGGGGGUGAAAUCCUGGAGCUCAACUCCAGAACUGCCUUCGAUACUGGAGAGCUCGAGUCCGGGAGAGGUGAGUGGAACUGCGAGUGUAGAGGUGAAAUUCGUAGAUAUUAGGAAGAACACCAGUGGCGAAGGCGGGCUCACUGGUCCGGUACUGACGCUGAGGUGGCGGAAAAGCGUGGGGAGCAAACAGGG
rnacentral:rRNA from 1 species